CAGACAUUUUUAACGAAAACAUAAACUGCAGCCAACUUCAGUACAAUUGAAAAAAGCCGGAUAAAAUUGUACACGAUAAUUUUUUGUGUGUUAUUUUCAUUUAAAAUACAAAUUAAGCAUUUAAAUAUUUAAUAACCAUGGCAAAUGUCGAGUCUAUGAUCGUAGAGGAAAAACCACAAACCAAACAAAUUGACCGUGAGAAGACUUGUCCACUACUGCUGAGAGUAUUCUGUUCAACUGGAAGACAUCACUCGGUAUCGGAUUAUAUGUACAAUAAUGUUCCCACUAACGAAUUACAAAUUUAUACUUGGAUGGAUGCCUCAUUGCAUGAGCUUACCUCUCUAGUACGCGAUGUCAAUCCCGAUACUCGCAAGAAGGGAACCUACUUCGACUUUGCCAUAGUCUAUCCCAAUUAUCGCAAUAAUCAUUUUCAAAUGCGUGAGAUUGGCGUAACGUGUACAGGACAAAAGGGAGCUGACGACAAUAAAACGUUGGCACAAGCAAAGUUUUGUAUCGGAGAUUUUCUUGAUAUUUCUAUAACGCCUCCAAAUCGUUUACCACCAAUUAGACGCCCUCGUCCCUACUAAGAAAACAUCUAACUUCUAUAUAUUUGCAUACAUUUUGUCAUCUUCAAUCCCACUACAAUCACUUUUAAUCAAUAACUAGGAUACUUAAGUUUUUUGGUUUAUGUUUUAUUUGAUAUCAACAACUGCAUCCCGACAGUUUUUCUUAAAAUAUAAAAAAUGCCCUCCAUUGACUAAUAGAUAUUGCUUUUGCGUUUGCUAUUGCCCCAACUGUUGCUGCUGCUGCUGCGCCUGUUUACAUAUAAUGAUUAUGAUGUCGUUGUUAGUAGUGGCAAAUAUACAUACAUACAUACAUAUUAUAAAAGUUUUGCUCAACGUCCGUUUUCAUAAUAAAAAAAAAUUAAAAUAGUUUUUUUUUUUACUUGUGCAAAAUCUGGAUAAUUAAUUAUAAUAUUAAUGGCACCAGUAACAGCACGUCAUACACAGACAGGCUGUGGGUAAACGGACACACAAAUGCAGUCAGUUAAACAGGAAGUAUGAUUUAGUGCGUAAAUAAAGGAAACAUGUUGCACAAACACACUCACAUGCAUACAAAAAAAGACUUGUGUUUAUGUAUGUACAGUGGCGGCCAUGAGGUUAGCACAUUUGGUAUCUGUUAAAUAUAAAAUCAAA